CUUUACUGUAGCCUGGUAUUGGGUUCGGGCUUUGACUGCGCGGGAUAGGUGGGAGACUGAGAAGUGUGCCUUGUGGGGCACAUAGAGUCAACGGUGAGAUACCACUCUGUCAGAGCCAGAAUUCUAACCUUCACCCGUGAUCCGGGGAAGGAACCGUAUCAGGUGGGCAGUUUGACUGGGGCGGUCGCCUCCUAAAAGGUAACGGAGGCGCGCAAAGGUGUUCUCAGGCUGGUUGGAAAUCAGCCGUAGAGUGUAAAGGCAGAAGAACGCUUGACUGUGAGAGUGACAACUCAAGCAGGGUGGAGACACGGCCUUAGUGAUCCGACGGUAUGCGCGUGGAAGUGCCGUCGCUCAACGGAUAAAAGUUA
rnacentral:rRNA from 1 species